AACGCAUAUUGCGCCCCUUGGUAUUCCGGGGGGCACACCUGUUCGAGCGCCAUUUCAACCCUCAAGCAUUGCUUGGUGUUGGGUAUGGUCCCUUAAAAAAUAAGGGACCCUCCCGUAACUUGUAGGCGGUUGUCACCCGUUCCCUCAGCGUAGCAAGCUAAAAAAUGCACCCGCUCGGGGAUAGUGUGUCUAGCCAGCCCUCCCUUAAAAAUUCUCAAGGUUUGGCCUCGGAUCAGGUGGGGAUACCCGCUGAACUUAA
rnacentral:misc_RNA from 1 species